UCACCCUCUAGGCAGAGAUUUUUGGCAGUUUAGGAGUGAAUAGUUUUCCCUGCCAAGUAACUGAAAUGUAUUCUCCAUGACACAUUAUUUUACAUAACAGGUCAGGAAGGGUAUCAAUGAAUAGGAGGUCCAGCAUCCCUUUCUGGCAUGGGUUGAACAGCUGAGAUACACUGCCUGUAGGAGCUAAGGGAUGUCUGGAGCUGCUAAGAGCUUGUGGAGCUGCACUCCCCAUGUAGAAGGCUCUGAGGCCAAAGCAGGAGAAACAAGUUUGAGUAUGCUAACACUGAAGUCUUUGUCGAGAGAUGAUGAAAUCUGGUGGAGAGACACUUAACUGUGAAGCACAGUGGAAAGCUGGAACCAUCUCUACUCAAAGCAUCCUUCAGCACUGACACCCCAGGGGGACAGGAGCAAGCAGGGGGCUGUGAAACACUGCAGAAGCCUUGUGGUGCCAUUCAUUCCUUGACAGUUUAAUACCACUCAGUAAUUUACAUGGGGUGCGAAACCAGCAGGGUUUGACACCAAUAAGGUCAGUUCUGCCAUCAGAGAUACAAACUUGGGUCUCAGCAGAGGAAGAAACUAAAUUAGUGCAAACAUGUUUUUCUCAGGUAGUCAAGCAAGGUACCUAAGGUAGUAAAAAAUAAUUUUCCAGCUUAUCUAGAGUAGAGUGCUUGCUAUGAGCUUUCACCCUCUUCAUACCUUUGCAGAUGCUGUAAGCACCCCUGCAAAGGGUUUUGAUAUUUUUUCUGUUAAACAUAACAGUAAUUU